UACGUAGGGGCUAGCGUUAUCCGGAAUUACUGGGCGUAGAGGGUGCGUAGGUGGUUUCUUAAGUCAGAGGUGAAAGGCUACGGCUCAACCGUAGUAAGCCUUUGAAACUGGGAAACUUGAGUGCAGGAGAGGAGAGUGGAAUUCCUAGUGUAGCGGUGAAAUGCGUAGAUAUUAGGAGGAACACCAGUUGCGAAGGCGGCUCUCUGGACUGUAACUGACACUGAGGCACGAAAGCGUGGGGAGCAAACAGGAUUAGAUACCCUGGUAGUCCCUGA
rnacentral:rRNA from 1 species